AGAGUUUGAUCCUGGCUCAGAAUCAACGCUGGCGGCGCGCCUAACACAUGCAAGUCGAACGAGAAAGUGGAGCAAUCCAUGAGUAAAGUGGCGUACGGGUGAGUAACACGUGGAUAAUCUGCCCUUUAGUGGGGAAUACCGUUGGGAAACCGACGACAAUACCGCAUAAGCUCGAGAGAGGAAAGCAGCAAUGCGCUGAAGGAGGAGUCCGCGGUCGAUUAGCUAGUUGGUGAGGUAAUGGCUCACCAAGGCUGUGAUCGAUAGCCGGCCUGAGAGGGCACACGGCCACACUGGCACUGAAACACGGGCCAGACUCCUACGGGAGGCAGCAGUGGGGAAUCUUGCACAAUGGGGGGAACCCUGAUGCAGCGACGCCGCGUGAGCGAUGAAGCCCUUCGGGGUGUAAAGCUCUUUCGGCAGGGAAGAUAAUGACGGUACCUGCAGAAGCAGCUGCGGCUAACUACGUGCCAGCAGCCGCGGUAAUACGUAGGCAGCAAGCGUUGUUCGGAGUUACUGGGCGUAAAGGGUGCGUAGGCGGCUCUAUAAGUAUGGUGUGAAAUCUCCCGGCUUAACUGGGAGGGUGCGCUAUAGACUGUGGGGCUAGAGUGUGGGAGAGGAAAGUGGAAUUCCUGGUGUAGCGGUGAAAUGCGUAGAUAUCGGGAGGAACACCUGUGGCGAAACGGCGCACUGGACCAUAACUGACGCUCAUGCACGACAGCGUGGGGAUCAAACAGGAUUAGAUACCCUAGUAGUCC
rnacentral:rRNA from 1 species